rnacentral:rRNA from 1 species
GACGAACGCUGGCGGCGUGCUUAACACAUGCAAGUCGAACGGAAAGGCCCUGCUUUUGUGGGGUGCUCGAGUGGCGAACGGGUGAGUAACACGUGAGUAACCUGCCCUUGACUUUGGGAUAACUUCAGGAAACUGGGGCUAAUACCGGAUAGGAGCUCCUGCUGCAUGGUGGGGGUUGGAAAGUUUCGGCGGUUGGGGAUGGACUCGCGGCUUAUCAGCUUGUUGGUGGGGUAGUGGCUUACCAAGGCUUUGACGGGUAGCCGGCCUGAGAGGGUGACCGGCCACCUUGGGACUGCGGUACGGCCCAGUGUCCUACGGGAGGCAGCAGUGGGGAAUAUUGCACAAUGGGCGGAAGCCUGAUGCAGAAACGCCGCGUGCGGGAUGACGGCCUUCGGGUUGUAAACCGCUUUCGCCUGUGACGAAGCGUGAGUGACGGUAAUGGGUAAAGAAGCACCGGCUAACUACGUG